GAGUGCAGUGGCAGGAUCUCAGCUCACUGCAACCUCUGCCUUCUGGGUUCAAGUGAUUCUCCUGCUUCAGCCUCCUGAGUAGCUGGGACAAUUUACGUGAGCCACCAUGCCCAGCUAAUUUUUGUAUUUUUUGUAGAGACGGGGUUUCACCAUGUUGGUCAGGAUGGUCUUGAUCUCUUGACCUCGUGAUCUGCCUGCUUUGGCCUCCCAAAGUGCUGGGAUUACAGGCGUGAGCCACUGCGCCCGGCCUCUUCUCUUUUUAGAUAAAAUAAUGAGAUGCUACGUCGUAGGAUCUGUCUCUGAGUCCACAUUGCGGGAGAAAAGACCAUUCUUCGGAAAGAUGCAGAGGAAGCCCCGUACCUCAAGGGAUUGAGAUGGGAGACUGAGGGAAUCCUGGGGUCUCUGCCCUCUCCCUCACUGGGAAACAAGCUCUGUUUCUUCAUGUGCCGGAGCCCUGCCUCUGUGGGUGCAGCCUGAGGACAAAGGCAGUGCUGCAUCCCCUGAUCCCCUGCCCCCUACAACCUCCUGCCCAGCCUCUUGGGUGCUCCUCAGCUUGUCAUCAGGGAGGAAGCAGCCAUCUCCUCCGAUGACUGACUUCAAGCCUCAACUCUCCCACAGCUUCUCAAAAGCCAAGGCUGAGGCCAAGUCCUAGCUGCUGCCUUGGGACAGGUCAAGGGCCUCCUGCAAUCUCAUGCACAAACUGGUACCCAUGAGCAUGUGGCCUAAGAGAUUUAUUGACCCCUCUCCAAGUCCUUGCCAGAGGAAUCCUGCACACCUAUAUCCACAAUGAAGGGAGCCAUAUCCCCAGCUGGGUAGCCAUAUCCCUAAUGAUAUCACUUAUGAAAGGUGACAAGUCCUUUCUACCACUCUUAUUUAAGUGAAAAUAUAUUUAGUCAAUUAUG